GACGGACCGUGCAAACGUUGUUCGGAAUCACUGGGCUUAAAGGGCGCGUAGGCGGGCGGUCAAGUCAGGGGUGAAAUCUUUCGGCUCAACCGGAAAAGUGCCCUUGAUACUGACGGUCUGGAGGGAGGUAGGGGCAUGUGGAACUCAGGGUGGAGCGGUGAAAUGCGUAGAUAUCCUGAGGAACGCCGGUGGCGAAAGCGACGUGCUGGACCUCUUCUGACGCUGAGGCGCGAAAGCCAGGGGAGCAAACGGGG
rnacentral:rRNA from 1 species